CAAGAAUGGGUGCCAAUGCGAAGAAAGCUCUAAAGAAGAACAUGAAGAAGAUUGGCUUAUUCUUCAUCUCAGCUAGCAGCUCCGCAAAACCCGAUAUCGUCUGCUGAUUUUUUGACUGGGAAGUCAAAGCAUUUUGGGUUCAUACAGUUUGAGGACCUGAGGUGGCGGAAAUUGCAGCGGUUGCGAUGCAUGACUAUUUGUUGCUCGAGCACAUGCUCCAAGUCCACGUUAUUCUACCAGAGCAUGUUAAACCCAAUCUGUGUCAAUACAAACCAGUGGAUUGGGUUCAAAGUAAACAACAUAACAACAAGGAAAGAACACUGGAAGAGCAUAGAAAAUUGUUGCACAAGGUAGUGAAACGAGAUCAGAAAAGGAGAAAGCGAAUCGAAGCCGCUGAUUGGAAAUACGCAGCCAUUACCUAAAAAGAUCAAGUUUACUGAAGACUAGGUACCUCGAAGCGGUGGAGAAGACAUCUUCCAUUAGCUUUUUUUGGGAUAGAAUCUUGUGUGUUGUACUAAACUAUCAUUGCAAUGAAAAUUUACCAAGAGCGUAUCUUAGAUUCAACCGGUCUUAACCAAACCAGAUCAUGUGACUUGCACGUGAGUAUGUGUUGAAGAAGCAGUGAAUGUUCUUGAAUCCAGGCAACUCCUCCGAUCCUUGAGACCCAUUUGCAUGUCCUGGCAAAACUAUGAAGAAUUUCAAAUAUAGUAUCUAACCAAAAAACUAAUCUUACUAUCAACGAGUAUCACAAAUACCAAAACCACUCUUCUUUGUGGUUUAUUACACUGACUAUGUGUUAUCGCAGAACAUCGUUUAACCUUGAUUGUUCGCGUGUCCAUUUUGAUACAGUUGGAAAUUUCUGACAAGUAAAUUA